GACGAACGCUGGCGGCGUGCUUAACACAUGCAAGUCGAACGAAGUGGCGAACGGGUGAGUAACGCGUAAUCAACCUGCCCUUCAGAGGGGGACAACAGUUGGAAACGACUGCUAAUACCGCAUACUGAAGGGGGGGAUUGCGUCUGAUUAGCUAGUUGGGGGGGUAACGGCCCACCAAGGCGAUGAUCAGUAGCCGGUCUGGGAGGGUGAACGGCCACAUUGGGACUGGGACACGGGCCAGACGCCCACGGGAGGCAGCAGGGGGGGAUCUUCCGGAAUGGACGAAAGGCUGACGAGGCAACGCCGCGGGAGUGAUGACGGCUUUCGGGUUGGAAAGCUCUGUUAAUCGGGACGCGGUACCGGAAUAGAAAGCCACGGCUAACUACGUGCCAGCAGCCGCGGUAAUAC
rnacentral:rRNA from 1 species